GUGCUCGCUUUGGCAGCACAUAUACUAAAACUGGAACAAUACAGAGAAGAUUAGCAUGGCCCCUGAGCAAGGAUGACGCACAAAUUGGUGAAGCGUUUCAUAGAAAA
ensembl:snRNA U6 U6 spliceosomal RNA